rnacentral:misc_RNA from 4 species
AACGCACAUUGCGCCCUCUGGUAUUCCGGGGGGCAUGCCUGUUCGAGCGUCAUUAUAACCACUCAAGCUCUCGCUUGGUAUUGGGGUUCGCGGUUUCGCGGCCCCUAAAAUCAGUGGCGGUGCCUGUCGGCUCUACGCGUAGUAAUACUCCUCGCGAUUGAGUCCGGUAGGUCUACUUGCCAGCAACCCCUAAUUUUUUUAAGGUUGACCUCGGAUCAGGUAGGGAUACCCGCUGAACUUAA